rnacentral:rRNA from 1 species
GACGAACGCUGGCGGCGUGCUUAACACAUGCAAGUCGAACGGUGACGAGGAGCUUGCUCCUCUGAUCAGUGGCGAACGGGUGAGUAACACGUGAGCAACCUGCCCCAGACUCUGGGAUAACAGUUGGAAACAGCUGCUAAUACCGGAUACGAGACGGAGAGGCAUCUCUACCGUCUGGAAAGUUUUUCGGUCUGGGAUGGACUCGCGGCCUAUCAGCUAGUUGGUGAGGUAAUGGCUCACCAAGGCGACGACGGGUAGCCGGCCUGAGAGGGCGACCGGCCACACUGGGACUGAGACACGGCCCAGACUCCUACGGGAGGCAGCAGUGGGGAAUAUUGCACAAUGGGCGAAAGCCUGAUGCAGCGACGCCGCGUGAGGGAUGAAGGCCUUCGGUUGUAACCGUCUUCUAGCAGGGAAGAAGCGAAAGUGACGGUACCUGCAGAAGAAGACACCGGCUAACUACGUGCCAGCAGCCGCGGUAAAGCUAACG